CAGAAACUAGGAGGGUUGAACUCCUAUUUAAAGUUUUGAAGGCUUUAGGUUUAGUUAUCCUAAGUUUCU
rnacentral:tRNA from 1 species